GGCCAGUUAGCUCAAUGGGUUGAGCACUGUGCUGACAACAAUGACAACAUCGAGGCUGUGGGUUCGAUUCCCACAUGGUCU
rnacentral:tRNA from 1 species